rnacentral:rRNA from 1 species
UUGCCUCAGUAACGGCGAGUGAAGCGGCAAUAGCUCAAAUUUGAAAUCUGGCUCUUUCAGAGUCCGAGUUGUAAUUUGUAGAGGAUGUUUCGGCUUACGCCCCGGUCUAAGUUCCUUGGAACAGGACGUCACAGAGGGUGAGAAUCCCGUAUGUGGCCGGCGGCUUCCGCCAUGUGAAACUCCUUCGACGAGUCGAGUUGUUUGGGAAUGCAGCUCUAAAUGGGAGGUAAAUUUCUUCUAAAGCUAAAUACUGGCCAGAGACCGAUAGCGCACAAGUAGAGUGAUCGAAAGAUGAAAAGCACUUUGGAAAGAGAGUUAAAAAGUACGUGAAAUUGUUGAAAGGGAAGCGCUUGCGACCAGACUUGCCCGCGGAUGCUCAACCGGUCCUUCGGCCGGUGCACUCUUCCGCGGUCAGGCCAGCAUCAGUUCGGGCGGUUGGAUAAAGGCUUUGGGAAUGUGGCUCUCUUCGGGGAGUGUUAUAGCCCAUUGUGCAAUACAACCUGCCUGGACUGAGGCCCGCGCUUCGGCUAGGAUGCUGGCGUAAUGGUCGUAAGCGGCCCGUCUUGAAACACGGACCAAGGAGUCUAACAUCUAUGCGAGUGUUUGGGUGUCAAACCCGUGCGCGUAAUGAAAGUGAACGGAGGUGGGAACCUUUUGGGUGCACCAUCGACCGAUCCUGAUGUCUUCGGAUGGAUUUGAGUAAGAGCAUAGCUGUUGGGACCCGAAAGAUGGUGAACUAUGCCUGAAUAGGGUGAAGCCAGAGGAAACUCUGGUGGAGGCUCGCAGCGGUUCUGACGUGCAAAUCGAUCGUCAAAUUUGGGUAUAGGGGCGAAA